ACGAACGCUGGCGGCAUGCCUCACACAUGCCAGUCGCACGAGACCUUCGGGUCUAGUGGCGCACGGGUGCGUAACGCGUGGGAACCUGCCCUUAGGUUCGGAAUAACUCCCCGAAAGGGGUGCUAAUACCGGAUAAUGUCUUCGGACCAAAGAUUUAUCGCCUUUGGAUGGGCCCGCGUUGGAUUAGCUAGUUGGUAGGGUAAAAGCCUACCAAGGCGACGAUCCAUAGCUGGUCUGAGAGGAUGAUCAGCCACACCGGGACUGAGACACGGCCCAGACUCCUACGGGAGGCAGCAGUGGGGAAUAUUGGACAAUGGGCGAAAGCCUGAUCCAGCAAUGCCGCGUGAGUGAUGAAGGCCUUAGGGUUGUAAAGCUCUUUUACCCGGGAUGAUAAUGACAGUACCGGGAGAAUAAGCUCCGGCUAACUCCGUG
rnacentral:rRNA from 1 species